rnacentral:rRNA from 1 species
CGAGUUGAUCCUGGCUCAGAUUGAACGCUGGCGGCAGGCCUAACACAUGCAAGUCGGAGGGGUAGAGUUCCUUCGGGACUUGAGGACCGGCGCACGGGUGCGUAACGCGUAUGCAAUCUACCUUAUACAGGGGAAUAGCCCAGAGAAAUUUGGAUUAAUGCCCCAUAGUGUUAUCGAAUCGCAUGGUUUGAUAACUAAAGUUCCAACGGUAUAAGAUGAGCAUGCGUCCCAUUAGCUAGUUGGUAAGGUAACGGCUUACCAAGGCUACGAUGGGUAGGGGUCCUGAGAGGGAGAUCCCCCCACACUGGUACUGAGACACGGACCAGACUCCUACGGGAGGCAGCAGUGAGGAAUAUUGGACAAUGGGCGCAAGCCUGAUCCAGCCAUGCCGCGUGCAGGAUGACGGUCCUGUGGAUUGUAAACUGCUUUUGUACAGGAAGAAACACUACUUCGUGAAGUAGCUUGACGGUACUGUAAGAAUAAGGAUCGGCUAACUCCGUG